UUAAAUGUUAUGACGGAUACAAAACUAUCUGAUAUCAGUUACAGAGAGCCGGUGGCUGCUGAAAACCGGUACUGACUGGAUAGCAAUGAUCAAUCCCGAGCAUAAGGGCUGAAUUUAUCCAGUAAGCCUUUGCGGCUGGCAUACGUUAAUAUGCCGGGGUUUGUUAGAACCUAUCAAUAAGGUCACUUUUUCAAGUGAUGAAAUAGAGUGGUACCACGUUAAACAAGCGUCUCUAUA
rnacentral:ncRNA from 1 species